UGAAGCGGGAGGGCGGCCGCCAGCUGGGGCAGCGAGCAGGGCCGUCUGGGGCGGUGUGUUGUAACUGGCAGCCUGGCAUAUGAGUCACCGGCCAAAUUAACUCAAGUUUCCUUUGGGGAAAAAUGUAAUCAGUUGGAUUUUGUCAAAAGUGUCCCCUGUUCCAGACACGUCCCCGAACGCGAGGCUGCUCAUGGUAUUUGAGUGUCUGAUACGACAUCACGGCACCAGCCUGAGCUCGGAAAUGUCACACAUGCAUGGCUAGGACACCAUUAUACAGAUUUUUAUCAUUGUAUAGCGAAUAGGUCAUAUUAUCAAAGAACUUUAUUUCUGGAGCAAGAAGGAAGUGUCACGGAGCAUUCGUUACAGGGCAGUAAUGCUGGGUCUGACCACAUGAGGACAAUUUCACGGAUGGGAAGUCUGAGUUCUGGACUUCACCGUGACCUGCUGGCUGUCGCCCUGAGAAGGGCAAGACAGAACUGGAGCCCGGGUCUCUCGAUUCCUGGUUCUGGGCUCUGUCUGCUUCCUCAACAGCCCUUAGCAGCCCUCCUCAGCCUGUUUUCUCACGACAAGCCCUGCUCCCUGUUAUAAAGGGGGAUGAAAGAUUUUUA